CGCAAAGUGAAAUCAACAAGCCACGGUUG
rnacentral:piRNA from 1 species